rnacentral:misc_RNA from 1 species
GAAAUGCGAUAAGUAAUGUGAAUUGCAGAUACCGUGAAUCAUCAAAUGUUUGAACGCACAUUGCACUGCGUGGAACUCCGGGCAGUAUACCUGUUUGAGCAUCAGUAAGGUCUCCGGCGGCAGCGGUACAGUUUGCAGCGUUGGAGGAAGUGAGUGUUCAUGCAGAGAUGCGUGUUGCUUUAAAUGCGAGUUUGAUUCGCGCAGGAGCGGCAGAGUUAAUGGGCGUGUGCCUGUUGCUGGUUCUCCGUGCACGACAUCGAAGCACAUUUCAAUCAGAUCUCAAAUCAGGUAAGAGCACCCGCUGAACUUAA